rnacentral:rRNA from 1 species
AUUGAACGCUGGCGGCAGGCCUAACACAUGCAUGUCGAACGAGUGGCGGACGGGUGAGUAAUGUCUGUGAAACUGCCCGGUGGAGGGGGAUAACUACUGGAAACGGUAGCUAAUACCGCAUACCAUCGGAUGUGCCCAGAUGGGAUUAGCUAGUAGGUGGGGUAACGGUUCACCUAGGCGACGAUCGCUAGUUGGUCUGAGAGGAUGACCAGCCACAUGGGAACUUAGACACGGUUCAGCAUCCGACGGGAGGCAGCAGGGGGUAAUAGUGCACAAGGGGCGCAAGCCUGAUGCAGCCAUGCCGCGUGUAUGAAGAAGGCCUUCGGGUUGUAAAGUACUUUCAGCGAGGAGGCGUUACUCGCAGAAGAAGCACCGGCUAACUCCGUGCCAGCAGCCGCGGUAAUUC